AUGCCUGAGAGCUGCAGGAAGAUGGUCGCGUACCAUGAGGGAGGGCAUGCUGUUGUUGCCAUCCACACGGACAGCGCUGCUCCUCUCGACAAGGCUACCAUUGUUCCCACGAUGGAUAAUCUUGGCAUGGUGACGCAGCUGCCAGAGGAGGACGAUAAGUUUUUAUUGUCAAGGGAGAAGUUACUGGCAGAACUGGAUGUCCUCAUGGGAGGCCGGGCUGCCGAGGAGGUUAUCUUUGGCGAGAGCAAGGUGAGCUCCCUCGCCUUGUCUGACCUAAGAAAGGCGACUAAGCUGGCGACGAAGAUGGUCGCCAGGUAUGGUAUGAGCAAGCGGGUCGGCCCUGUUUCGUAUGACAAUGACGACAAUGACGACGGUUGGGAUGCCAAGACCAUGAUCUGGCAAUCGAAAUACCUGGUUAAUGAGGAGGUGACAGAAUUGCUAGGCAAAGCUUACAAUAACGCAAAGACGAUCCUCAUGGCACAUAGUAGGGAGCUUCAUGCGCUGGCCAACGCCCUCCUGAAGGACCAAACUCUCACUGGAGACCAGAUCACGGCCCUCCUGAAGCACGAGACUCUCGCCGGAGGCCAGACCACGAAACAAGAAGAAGAAACUCAUAGCGCAUCUCAAGUUGGCAUGGCAGUGAGAGGCUUUGCAGCAAAUUACAUUAUCUGCUAUACCCCGAUCAGAUGUUUGCAACAACCAGUACAUAUGAGCCGCAGGUCUGUUCCUACUAGAGUCGGAUCGAUCCAUCUUCAUAUAUAUAGGUACUCCGAUCAUAACAACAGCAAUCCAUCGCCGAGCAACGAAACCAAAUUUCAAGCGAUUCUUCUUUUCUUAUCUCCAGCACAGCAGCACGCCCUGUCCAUCAUGGCAUGCCGGCUCGCCCUCUGCAGGGAUCCAGAUGAAGAAUAUCGUAAAUUUUAUGGUGUGAAGAGAGCGUCGACUUAUUCAACCACGGGAUUCCGUGAUGUCAAAGGAGUUGACGAAGCCAAAGCUGAGCUCGAGGAUAUUGUACACUACCUAAGAAAUCCCGAGGGUGUUUUGCUUGUUGGCCCACCGGGCACAGGGAAGACCAUGUUGGCAAAGGCUGUGGCCGGGGAAGCUGGUGUCCCAUUCUUUGCGUGCAGCGGCGGCGAUUUCGAGGAGAAAUAUGUUGGUGUUGGUGCUAAGAGAGUGAGGGAUCUCUUCGGUGCUGCAAAGAAGCGAUCCCCUUGCAUAAUAUUCAUCGACGAGAUUGAUGCGGUUGCUGGAACCAGGAACUCAUAUGAUUCAAAGUCGCAUAGGCAGACCUUGAACCAGCUGCUUGUUGAGAUGGAUGGAUUCAAGCAGAAUGAUGGGAUCAUCAUUCUAGCGGCGACCAACUGCCCCGAGUCACUAGAUAAAGCUGUUACUAGACCUGGGCGUUUUGACUGUCAUGUUCAGGUUCCUAAUCCAGAUGUUGAGGGCCGGCGGCAGAUCCUCGAGGGUUGUAUGUCAAAGGUCAAAGCCAAGGGUGUGGAUCUGAUAACCAUUGCGAAGGGGACACCAGGAUUCUCAGGUGCAGACCUUACAAACUUGGCGGAAGUUGUUACGAUGGAUCACAUGGAAUACGCCAAGGACAAGAUCAUGAUGGGCAGCGAGCGCAAAUCGGCUGUGAUACCUGAAAACUGCAGGAAGAUGACUGCAUACCACGCGGGAGGGAGGGCCCUUGUUGCUAUCCACACGGAUGGCGCUCGCCCUAUCUACAAGGCUACCAUUGUCCCGAGGGGGGCCGCUCUCGGGAUGGUGACCCAGCUGCCAGAGGAAGAAGAUGUGUAUAAGUUCUCGAGGAAGAAGAUGCUGGCGCAAUUGGACAUCGUCAUGGGAGGCAAGGUAGCCGAGGAGCUUAUAUUUGGAGAGAGCGAGGUGAGCUCUGGUGCCUUGUCUGACCUAAGAGAGGCGACUCAGCUGGCGACAGACAUGGUCACCAAGUAUGGAAUGAGCCAGCGGAUCGGCCCUGUUUGCUACGGCAACAACAAUGAUGGAAAGCAGACGGCAACCUUGAGCUGGCAAGCGACAACCUUGGUUGAUGAGGAGGUGAAAGAAUUACUGGUCAAGGCCCGCAAGAAUGCGAAAGAGAUUAUCACAGCUUACUGCAAGGAGCUUAAUGUGCUAGCCGAUGCCCUUCUCGAGCACGGAACUCUCACCGGAGACCAGAUCAAGCAGUUGGUAGAUGGUCUUGAAAUUGGUAGUGCGGAGAACGAGGAAACACCUUCGUGA
rnacentral:rRNA from 1 species